CCCCGCCGCCCGCCACCUUGCCCGCCCGCCGCCGAGCUGCCCCCGCCCCGCGCCGCCUCUCCGGCAGCGGCCGUGAGCAGGUAAUGGCAGGGCGGAGGAGGCGCGGGAGGGAAGCGGCAGAAAGUCCGGUUAACUCCUUUGAGCUCGGGGCCGGCUGCGGCUGGAGGCUGCCCGGGGUCGGACGGAGGGCUGCAAGAGAUCCGACAGUUGGCUGCUGCAAAAAAGAUGAUCCUGCCUGCAACCUGUAAGCGUGUGCUCUGCUGGACCUGGUGCCCAUCUGACUGCAACUAGCUGGUCAAUCUGCUGGAAAAAUUACACUUCAGAAAAUAAUGAGUUUUCCAUUGAAUUGAUCCAACUUGUGACAACACAGCUGCAGGAUCGAGGCAAGCAGCAACCUGCAAGUGAUGGAAAGCAGAAGUGCUCCUUUCAGUAGCCAUCUGUCAUUAAAGAGCUCUGUUGCAUCCUG